rnacentral:rRNA from 1 species
UACGUAGGGUGCGAGCGUUAAUCGGAAUUACUGGGCGUAAAGCGUGCGCAGGCGGUUCGUUGUGUCGGCGGUGAAAUCCCCGGGCUCAACCUGGGAAUGGCCGUUGAAACUGGCGAACUGGAGUGUGGCAGAGGGGGGUGGAAUUCCGCGUGUAGCAGUGAAAUGCGUAGAGAUGCGGAGGAACACCGAUGGCGAAGGCAGCCCCCUGGGCCAAUACUGACGCUCAGGCACGAAAGCGUGGGGAGCAAACAGG